GAUACAGAGGGUGGUGCAUGUAUGGGAUGAGUUGGGAGAGGAAGUUGUAGAUGUGGGUACAAUCACACAUUUAAUAGGCAUUUAAACAGGUACAUGGAAAGGAAUGGUUUAGAUGGACGUGGGUCAAAUGCAAGCAAAUGGGACUAGGACAGUUUGGAAAACCUGGCUGGCAUGGACAGGUUGGGCCGAAGGGUCUGUUUCUGCUGUAUAACUCUGUUUGAUGUGUUCUUUUUACUUGCUGCAGUUAAAGGGAGAAAAUUGUGGAAAAGGGGGAGGUGGGGAGAAAUCAGUUUAUAACGCUCUCAGGGAGAUGGAUCAUCACAGAUCACAAAUUACACCACUGGUAGAUGGACCGAGUGGCGUCAUUCUCUGCUCCUAUUUAUUUCCUUUUUCAGGAAUGUCAGAGGUGAAAUUAUUUGAAUUCCCAAAGUAUUUACCCUCCCAGACAGAAAGAGGUUGACUUUACAUUUGGACUCGUGCGAUGCAUGUGAAGGCGUUUUAGAUGUUUAUUUUCUGUCAGUGGUUGUUACAUAUUUAUAUAUAAAUGAAAUAUUGUGUGCAUUUAUCUCCUGGAUUAAUCACAUACAAUAAGAUGCCAGAGCCGUGCUGUUAGGAGGAGCUAAAAUAAUUGCAACUGAUUCGCGUGUUCGAGCCUGCAAUUAAAAUUUCUGGAAGCGAGGGUCGGGUGAGGGAGAGAAAGAGAGAUGAGAGCAGGAUGAAGGGAGAGAAAAGGAUGAUGACAGGAUUGAGAGAGAGAGAGAGAGAGAGAGAGCACGUGUGGGAUGGUGACAGGACUGAGAUGGAGUCACAUUCAAUGUUUUGGCCCCAGUCGCUUUCUGUGGCAGAGAAUCCCACAUGCUCUCCACUUUCUGGGUGAAGACAUUUUUCCUCAUCUCAGUCCUACCCUGUCCCCUUUAGACUGUCACCCCCUGUUUCUGGACUGCCCCGUCAUGACUGGGAACAUCCUUUAUUGUUGGUGGGUAUAGUCUGGAUGGAUCGAAAAGACUCUCCAGUACUGUGAGACUCGGUCGUAUUAAAGUGUACAUUCCUGAUCACGUGCCACCAUCCAGAUUUCAUUUUUGCGUUCAUCAGUCAGAUGAUUGAUAAUAGGAUUUGGGACGUCAUGUUGCCAUUGUACAGGACAUUGGUGUGGCCACUUUUAGAUUACUGUGUAUAAUUCUGGUAGCAUAGCGAAAGGGAGGAUAGUAUUAAAUUGGAGAGGGUGCAAAAAGGAUUUGCAAAGCCAAGUGCAGGCCAAUGAGACUAGUUUAUUAUGGGAAGCCUAGUUGGCAUGGACAAGUUAUGCCAAAGGACCUGUUUCUGUACUGUAUGAAUCUAUGACUUUAUUGCGAGAUGCCCCCAGCUAUCGAAAUGAGCAGAUUGAACAGGCAUCUCCAUUCAAUGAAGCUUCAUCCCCAGGACCCUUCCUUACCACCGCUCGGUUUCAUUCUCCCACUUUCUCUUCUAUUCUCUGUCGCAAAGUAUUACCCAGCUCCAUCCUGACAUUCUGGGCUCAGCUUUCCAGUUGGACGUUAGUCCCUGGCGCCCCUCUCCGGCUACGGUACUUCUAAAGCAAACGUACGAACUUGGAGCAAAAAGAAUGAUGUACCUCUUUGACAAACAAAAAUCCUGCCCCAAAACCUGUGGCUACAGGAGUUCAAACAGUAGAUUUCUCUCCAUAAGCCAAUAACACAUGAUCAGGUGGGCGUGUGCGUUUUCCACAGAGUUUAUAAUCGAAAAUGAGAACAUUCACAGAUGUAAGGAAAAUUCUCUUUUUUUUUUAAACAGUAAGAACUGCUUCAUAUUUGGAUGGCCACGGUACGUUGCAAAAGUUAGGUUGAAAAUGUUCCAUUAAAUGAUUACACACAAAGGGU